GUUUCAGCUAUGUAUUGAUAUCCAUAUCCAUAUUACAUCAUAACUACUUGAACAUAAUAUAUACAUAUAUCACAAUAAUAAAUGAAUAAAAUAAAAUAUUUACAAAUGUUGAUCCAAUAAACAAUAAAGCAAUCAGAAAGAUCUACCUGCUCAGGUACAAUCAUGUCUUUGUAGACAACAAAAUCAAGAUCGUAACUUUCUAAAUAAUAAUAACUGUGUUUCACUAUCAUAUUCCUACAGACACAUAUAGCAUAGUAUUUUCAUUCUCAAUACCUGAUAUUACUUAAGUACUAAUACAUGUAUUACUAUAAUAUCCUGUCCAAUUAUAUUUCCAUGAAUCGUAUGGUUUCUAGCAACUUAAAAUCUUUAUCAUUUGUAUUCAUGAAUUACAUUCCUAUACCAUUAAUACCACCUAGUGAUGAUUGUAUCAGUACUUUACAAUCAUA